UUAGAACAGUUUAUUUUUAGAACAGAUGUUUAAACAACUUAAAAAAUCACCUUAAGUGGCUGGAAACUUUAUCAAAGCUUUGCAGGAAAUCCUGAAUUUUUUAUUUUGCUGCCAGAAAGAAAAUAUUUUUCAAGCCCUGUAUCUAUCAGCCCCUGCCUUUGUAGCAACCAUUCUCAAAUUGUAAUAUGUCUUAUUCCUAAUGGUCUUAAUAAACAAUUUUCGCUUAUUUCCUAAUCUAGCUAUUAUUUAUUUUCAUCUCAUCUUAUCUAUACACACCCUUGACAUAUUUCCAACUCGUCUUACGUUCUACGUCGUAUUCCUACUACGUUCCAUAUAGUUUAUCCUUCGAUUCUACUGUUCUAUUCUCUUCUUAACUGUUUCUCCUUCUAUUCUUUAUUUACCUGAUGAAAAGUUAAGCUCGAAACGUUGUACCAAAUACACCACGCACAAAACGCAUAGUUUCGACGUAUAACACGCACAAUUUCAUUGACUAAAAAACUCAAGCCUUUUCAGUUUUCGAAGUGGCUAGAAAGGAAGGAUUUGUAGUUGAAGAUAUCUCAUGUUUGAUUACUACUAACGUUUUAUCUUUGUGGCAAAGCGCAAAAUUAAAAUGUACUGGUCUUUACUUCGUAAAAUAUUUUGACUCUCAGAGCUCUGUGCCACUUAUUGGUCGUUUCGAGAGCAAGGAGAAUGGCCAUUAUCCCUAAACUUUCCAUUAAAGCCCUCUUAUCAAGAUCUUAUCAAAAUGUCGAGAUCGAUGUUCACGCGCCCCUUUAAAAGCUGGUUUCCUUGUGUGUGGGUUAUCUUAAUUAAACUAACAACACAGCAAGAAAAAUGAUUAGCUUACUAAAUUAGAAUUUAUCGACGAACCCACUACUAAUAUACUAUAUUGCUUUUGAACAUUGCCACAUAUAUUGCAUUUAGUUUCAUUUUGGAUAGUGUUCCAAAUUUCUCUUCAUCUGUACGAGACAGUAUUAAAUCAAUUUAAUUUAUAAUUUGACUCCACGCUUAUAAAUUUGAAUUGUAAUGCUAAGAUAUAAAAUAAAACAUUUUUCAAGCAUGGAAAUCUAUAUUCAAGACUGCAUAUGGUAAAUUAAUGAUAUCAAAUUUGAGAAAGUCUUAAGAAACAAUGAGUGCUGAUAUUGUUUGCAUUAUAUAUAUAAAAGGGUGUAGCCCCAUGAUCGGCUAUCCAUGAUCACCUCUUUUGGGGGGCAUGUUUUGCUAAUCUUUAACAUAUGAACAAGAUUCGCAAACAUAUCAAUAAAUGGGUUUACAAUGCAUGCAUAACAAUCGUUCAUCAUCCAAAACAUUCAACUCUGAAAGACAUGGAUGGUCCUGCUUUUCAAAAAGGGAUUUUUAAAACAUAUCAAAUAUCAGCGUUGGUAAUCUUGUAUGAGAGCACUGCUGUGUGUGUUGUCUUCAUUUUAUUGGUGUGUUUUGUAUUAUUUUAACAAUUAGGCUUUAAAAAGCAACAGAUCAAAUAGUGUAUUAUCUCCAGUUAAAGUUAAUUCAAAUAUCUAAAAUAUUUUCCCGUGAUACAAACAGUUGCUUGCCAACUGAUGCAGAGGGUAAGGAAUUUUUUAAUCAUGACAGAUCCUUUUGUCUGUCGUAUUUCGCACAUUGGUCUUUCUUUUACACGGACAAAAGAAUUUUUGUUGCAUUUUCUUGCUUUUGAAUGCCAUAAAUAGUAACUAGUGGCCUGUGAAAAAGCAUCACAAACUAUCAACCCAAUCGCGGCAUCCAGGUUACCUGAAGACUGUCUCUGCAGAAAAUUAACCACAAUUCAGCGCUGCCUACACUACCAAAGGAUAAAAAGAGAAAUGAAAUUUGCAGGCGUUGUUUUUCUCCUCAUCAUUGGAUGUGUUUCUGGCGUUUCGGGUAAGGAGAAGAAAUACUGCUCCUGGCCAAGCAAUGUUGGUCAUUUAGUUAGCCUCAAAGAGUUUUCUUCAGGUGAUGGCUGCAACAUCGCGGCUUGUCUCAGCGGAAAACGCAUGGUCGGUGUGAUCAACACAGGAUGCCAAGCUGCUAUCACGGAAUGGAAACAACUUGCAGAUCUUGAUUCCUUUGACAGGCUAGUAAGAAACUGGGACCAAAAAUGCAUCCAUGGUGGAAAAUUUGUGCGUAACCUACAGUUUGGAGACGCAGAAGAAACAAAUAAGGGGCCAAAUAUGCUUUGUGUUAAGGGCAAGAUGGUUAGUUUUAAAGUCAUGUGGAUAGUUUCGAGACAGUUGAGCUCAUUCCAAAGUGGCAAUUAUGUUGGAUGAGGUAUCAUCCACGACACGAGAUUUCGACUCACAGUAAUCUACUCUGCGUAGUUAAUUGGAUGUAGUAUUCUCAAUGUGCAUUAGCAUAGCUUAUUCUAAAAUGUAUGUUGACCUUUAUCAAAUAUAUAUGUGAACUGUAAUAAUAAAAGUAUAAAUA